CAGCCUACGCCCGGAGUUCCGUUGUCGUCCAGUGAAGUGCGUGAGCUCACGCGCUUCUAGAAGUUUUAUGCUGUUCCUCAUGCGCUAGCUCGUGCACCCUUUUCCUGGUGAUUUUUCUGGCGCACUUCUAACCAAUGUGUUUCCCACACCUGGUUCGCACAUUUAUUUUUUGGAUACCUUUUGUUAUCCAACUUUUUCCUUUCUGUCUCGGUACCUAUUCUUUUAAUUGAAGAUGAUUGAUGGAAAGAAGGAAG
rnacentral:misc_RNA from 1 species